rnacentral:rRNA from 1 species
AACGAACGCUGGCGGCAUGCCUAACACAUGCAAGUCGAACGAGACCUUCGGGUCUAGUGGCGCACGGGUGCGUAACGCGUGGGAAUCUGCCCUUGGGUUCGGAAUAACUCAGAGAAAUUUGAGCUAAUACCGGAUGAUGACGAAAGUCCAAAGAUUUAUCGCCCAGGGAUGAGCCCGCGUAAGAUUAGCUUGUUGGUGGGGUAAUGGCCUACCAAGGCGACGAUCUUUAGCUGGUCUGAGAGGAUGAUCAGCCACACUGGGACUGAGACACGGCCCAGACUCCUACGGGAGGCAGCAGUGGGGAAUAUUGGACAAUGGGCGCAAGCCUGAUCCAGCAAUGCCGCGUGAGUGAUGAAGGCCUUAGGGUUGUAAAGCUCUUUUACCAGGGAUGAUAAUGACAGUACCUGGAGAAUAAGCUCCGGCUAACUCCGUG